rnacentral:rRNA from 1 species
GAUGAACGCUGGCGGCGUGCCUAAUACAUGCAAGUCGAGCGAACAGACGCGGAGCUUGCUCCUCUGACGUUAGCGGCGGACGGGUGAGUAACACGUGGAUAACCUACCUAUAAUACUGGGAUCACUUCGGGACACCGGCGCUAAUACCGUAUAAUAUAUUGAACCGCAUGGUUCAUUAGUAAAAUACGGUUUUUCUGUCACUUCUCGCUGGUUCCGCGCCGCAUUAGCUAGUUGGUAAGGUAACGGCUUACCAAGGCAACGAUGCGUAGCCGACGUGAGAGGGUGAUAGGCGACACUGGAACGGAGACACGGUCCAGACUCCUAAGGGAGGGAGCAGUAGGGAAUCGGCCGCAAUGGGCGAAAGCAUGACGGAGCAACGCCGCGUGAGUGAUGAAGGUCCUCGGAGCGGAAAACUCUGUUAUUAGGGAAGAACAAAUGUGUAAGGAACUAUGCACGUAUUGACGGUACCUAAUCAGAAAGCCACGGCUAACUACGUG